GGUAAGAAUCGUUGCGAGGGGCUUACUGACAUCAUUCGUGCAUGACGAUAUCGACGUACCUACGCAAAGCUCCAGGGCAGAACGACUCUGUUUACUUCACUGAGUAAUCCUGAAUGAACGGAGAGGACGAAAGGAGAAGAGGAUCAAGACGAGGAUGGUGCAGCCAGUCCUAUAGUGGUGACGUGACGAAUUGUAUGAGUUUAGCCUGGGGAGUGGUGAAGUUGAUUCGUAUCAUGUCUGUAGAAUGGGAAUGGAAAAGCAGACGCUGGCGGAACGCCAUUGGAGUCAGGUUGAGAGAGACUUUUUCGAGUGAAGAGCAAUUCAAGGAACUUUUCGUUUGGAGCUAGAAGAGGACAUUAUGUUGAGAUCUGGUGGAAGGCAGACCUGCCUGUGGUAAUGUGUGGUAUCUGUUCGUGUCGGUUACAGAUUCUGGACUGUCACAAAAAUACUCUAACUUUUUUUCCGAUUGCAUUACAGAAUUGAGGAUAGACAGAGUAUGAGUUUGUACUCCUUAUCUCGGGCGUGUUAAUUUGUAAAUAAUCUUGUUGAACUAUGAACUUUUUUGACCUGGUGAUUAUUCCUUGUACUGUAAUCAUGAAGUGAACUUAAUUUUCACGUAUCUUUAAUGAUUACUUAGUAACAUUGGAAACAAAACUUCACUCCAUUCGCUAAGGGUAUUUUCUGUAUGUAUUUUAACUGGAUAUCGUAGGACCAUUUUCCGUUUAUUUGAGAUGUCCUUUCUUGAAUAAGCAUUAUUCGACAUAAUUCUCUGUCGUUUACA